GAUAGUGAACCAGUACCGUGAGGGAAAGGUGAAAAGAACCCCGACGAGGGGAGUGAAACAGUACCUGAAACCGAACGCCUACAAUCAGUUGGAGGGCCCUUGCGGCCUGACAGCGUACCUUUUGUAUAAUGGGUCAUCGACUUGGUCUAUCUAGCAAGCUUAAGCCGUUAGGUGUAGGCGCAGCGAAAGCGAGUCUUAAUAGGGCGAAUGAGUUAGAUGGAUCAGACCCGAAACCGAGUGAUCUAGGCAUGGCCAGGUUGAAGGUAAGGUAACACUUACUGGAGGACCGAACCCACAUCCGUUGAAAAGGAUCGGGAUGAGCUGUGCCUAGGGGUGAAAGGCCAAUCAAACUCGGAGAUAGCUGGUUCUCUGCGAAAUCUAUUUAGGUAGAGCGUCAUCCGAAUACCCCGGGGGGUAGAGCACUGGAUGGGUAAUGGGGCCCCACAGGCUUACUGAUCCUAACCAAACUCCGAAUACCCGGGAGUACUAGAUGGCAGACACACUGCGGAUGCUAACGUCCGUAGUGAAGAGGGAAACAACCCUGACCUCCAGCUAAGGCCCCCAAUUCAUGGCUAAGUGGGAAAGCAGGUGGGACGACCAAAACAACCAGGAGGUUGGCUUAGAAGCAGCC
rnacentral:rRNA from 14 species